GGAGGAGUCGCAUAGCUGGUCCAUUGCGGGAGAUUGCUAAUCUCCUGAGCCUUUUGGCUCACGUGGGUUCGAAUCCCACCUCCUCCGCCC
rnacentral:tRNA from 1 species